rnacentral:rRNA from 1 species
GGUGAGUAACACGCUUUGCAACCUACCUCUAACUGGAGGAUAGCCCGAAGAAAUUCGGAUUAAUAUUCCAUAAAGUCAAUUUAAGGCAUCUUUUAUUGAUUAAAGCUCCGGCGGUUAGAGAUGGGCAUGCGUGUCAUUAGCUAGUUGGUGAGGUAACGGCUCACCAAGGCCACGAUGACUAGGGGGUCUGAGAGGAUGAUCCCCCACACUGGUACUGAGACACGGACCAGACUCCUACGGGAGGCAGCAGUGAGGAAUAUUGGGCAAUGGACGCAAGUCUGACCCAGCCAUGCCGCGUGCAGGAUGACUGCCCUAUGGGUUGUAAACUGCUUUUGUUUGGGAAGAAACCCCCGAUCGUGAUCGGGGCUGACGGUACCAUACGAAUAAGCAUCGGCUAACUCCGUGCCAGCAGCCGCGGUAAUACGGAGGAUGCAAGCGUUAUCCGGAUUCAUUGGGUUUAAAGGGUGCGCAGGCGGAAUAUUAAGUCAGUGGUGAAAUCCUGCAGCUUAACUGUAGAACUGCCAUUGAUACUGAUAUUCUUGAAUAUAGUUGAGGUGGGCGGAAUGUGUAAUGUAGCGGUGAAAUGCUUAGAUAUUACACAGAACACCAAUUGCGAAGGCAGCUCACUAAACUAAUAUUGACGCUGAGGCACGAAAGCGUGGGUAGCAAACAGGAUUAGAUACCCUGGUAGUCCACGCUGUAAACUAUGAUCACUCGCUGUUGGCAAUACAUCGUCAGCGGCUGAGCGAAAGCAUUAAGUGAUCCACCUGGGGAGUACGGUCGCAAGAUUGAAACUCAAAGGAAUUGACGGGGGCCCGCACAAGCGGAGGAACAUGUGGUUUAAUUCGAUGAUACGCGAGGAACCUUACCUGGGCUUAAAUGCAGAGCGACGUCCGCCGAAAGGUGGAUUCCUUCGGGCGAUCUGCAAGGUGCUGCAUGGUUGUCGUCAGCUCGUGCCGUGAGGUGUCGGGUUAAGUCCCAUAACGAGCGCAACCCUUAUCGUUAGUUGCUAGCGGGUAAUGCCGGGGACUCUAACGAAACUGCCGGUGUAAACCGUGAGGAAGGUGGGGAUGACGUCAAAUCAGCACGGCCCUUAUGUCCAGGGCUACACACGUGUUACAAUGGUCGGUACAGAGGGCAGCUACCACGCGAGUGGAUGCUAUAUCUCGAAAACCGGUCUCAGUU